rnacentral:rRNA from 1 species
AGGCCUAACACAUGCAAGUCGAACGGAUGUCAGCAAUGGCAUUAGUGGCGCACGGGUGCGUAACACGUAACUAACCUGCCUAAGACUGGGGGAUAGCCCGCCGAAAGGCGGAUUAAUACCGCAUAAUAUCUGCGAGUGGCAUCACUUGUUGAUUAAACCUGAGGGGGUCUUAGAUGGGGUUGCGGGUCAUUAGCUAGUUGGUAGGGUAACGGCUUACCAAGGCGACGAUGACUAGGGGAGCUGAGAGGCUGGUCCCCCACACGGGCACUGAGAUACGGGCCCGACUCCUACGGGAGGCAGCAGUAGGGAAUAUUGGGCAAUGGGCGAGAGCCUGACCCAGCCAUGCCGCGUGCAGGAAGAAGGCUUUCUGAGUCGUAAACUGCUUUUGAUAGGGAAGAAUAAGGUGUACGUGUACACUGAUGACGGUACCUACAGAAUAAGCACCGGCUAACUCCGUGCCAGCAGCCGCGGUAAU